UCCUGUUAGAGGAAGAGAAGAGCAUGGAUUAUUGUGAAAAAGAAUCCUGUUUAAUUCUAUUCAUUCCCAUGUGGAGAACAAGACAUCGUGAUUAAAAGAGAAGCCGGGCCAAGCGUUAAUGGAGCAGAAGAAAGUCGGAACAAAGCGAAGGACGAUCAGUGGGAAAGGAGGCCGCAGGCAUUACAGUUAUUUUAAGCCGGCACUAAUGUUCAGAUGUUUACUCAGAAGAGUGCAUGUGAGACACAAGAUACAAGGAUACACAGAAGAUAAACUAUCCCUUCUAGACAUUACAACUCUGCUGCACAUGGGAGAUAUCAGGUAGAAAGCUUCACGUAUUAAGUACCAGGACAAAGGUUAACGAUGGGAUAAAUAUGUUCGGUUUCUACAGCACAAGCCGGUUAUUCUGGUCUCUCCUUACAAGGCUGCACUUAGCUAACAUUGAAUGGUCUUUACUCAGAAAUCCUAGCAAGGUAAUGGUAAAAGACAAGCCCCAGAUUGGUGACCAUAGAAGGGUUAUCCGACACCCUCUAUAACCACACUGGGCUUCGUAUGAUCGGAUUACCUGUAAACAUUAGUUAUAUUCUGUGAAACUGUGAAUUCUAGAUCAACAAUUUUUGCCUAAUUCCCUUUCUAAAAAUGUUGGAUUAAAGCCAAUCUGGCCACCAUUAUAUGGAGCAGAAAAUCAUUCUUGUCAUGAAAGCAGAAGAUAGGAAUAUUACCAACUCAAGUGAGUGUAA